CCUUUUUUUUUUUUUUUUUUUUUUUUUUAAAAAAAAAAAAAAAAAGAAAGGAAGACAUUGAAGGGUUUUCUAUAUGUAAUAGGGAAACAAUUCCAAGAAGAGACCCGUAGCUCUUCCCACCCCAGGCAGAGUCCACCCCGGCGAGCACGAGCUGCGGUACGGCCCCCCCCGGGGUCACCUCGAGGGUGUGAUGGUUGUGGUGUGCAGGGCUGAGGCACGGGGGGCUUGGGGAGGGGGAAAAACACCUUGCAAAUGCACAAACCGAGGAGGGCGGCCAAGGCACGGACUGUGUUCUUCAGCUAGAGGCAGCUUUUGAGUAACAAGUGUAUUUAUUAAUUAGCACUAAGGUAUUAACAUCCCAGUAAUCAGUAUUAGGAUCCUGAGGAGCGUUGCAGUUCAGUUCCCCGUGCAGAGAAUCAUCCCGUGCCCUGCUCCGGGGGGUUCACACCCCGCUCCGACUCCCAGUUCCUUGGACAAUCCAGUUCAGCUUCCCUGCUGAGGACCCCCUGGGCAAAAUCCCGGGAAAGCCCUGGACGAAAAACCC